rnacentral:sRNA from 1 species
AUCGCGUUCGUAGACGUCGUCGAAAUACUCGACGGUUCCGUCCUUGUUCGGCCAGGCGGUAAAGUAGGAAACAUAGACCGGGACCUUGGCGGAUACCGGCA